UUGAAUGAACUCCAGGCACCGCAUGUCAGAGGAGAAUGGAAGGCGGUGGAGACUGCUGCUGGCAGGGAGCACAACAAGGCAAUAAAGGGAACUCUAAGUACGAGAGUUACCCCUUGGUCUUCCCCAACUGGGAUAUUGUACUCCGUGCUAUGUGUGAUGAAGCUGACAGCUCCUUGUCUUCACAUCUUGCAUAGGGCUGGUGACUUCUAUUGCAGCUGAAGGAGAAUGGGAAAUUGAUUUGGUUUUAUUUUUUGGCUAAUCUUGAAAUAAAAAAUUCUUUUGUGUUUGGAAA